AUGCACAAACCCCAGCAUUCCCUGUCCUGCUCCAACAUCCCUGAGGUUCGAAGGAAAGCCACAGAGAUCACAGAGAUCAGAGGCACCGCCACACUAGAAAAUGUCGUCGAACUGCUGCCUGGUUCACAGCAUGAACAUCAGAUGCCAAAACUCUCCCGGGGCCACAGCAAAAGCGAGGAGGCCCUUCAACAAAACAAGCACAAACAUGAUUACUCAGAAGGAUCUCACUCCAUGCAUCAUGGGCCACUUUACAAGACUGCAAGCCUGGGACAAAGCCUUGCCUUUGGUGGCAACACUCUAGGUGGCAGGGUGGUUCCCAAGAAGGCUGUUUCAACCUUUCAGCUACCCAGCAAAGGUAUUCUGAAAAACAAAUAUGAUGGACAGAAAGAAGGAAACUUCAGGAAAGCAAAGUCUAUGGAGGUGCUCUCCACCAGGGUGCACGUCACAGGAACAUCCAAGCAGAUCUCUACGGAAGCUGCAAAGGAUAACUUUAUGAAAGGGAAGCUACAGUUCUCUGCAUUUCUGGACGAGAUCACCAAGCAGGUUAUCAGUCCCUGUGCUCUUAGCUCUUUUGGUGUAAACACAUCAACGCCACCAAAAUCACCCAGUGAAGAGCGCAAGAACCGCAGCAGCAAGCAGGAGAGCUUUGUGCCAUCACCAAAACAGCAGCCCAUCAGAACCGAGAGACGUGAUUCAGAAAAAAACGAUUCAAGCUCACUUUCUCGAUCACAUAAGAGACCGAGCAAAUACCACAACCGAAACCUGACCAGUCCUCCACCCACGCCCCACCACCCUUCUAAAGCUGAAAGACAAGGGGCUGCUUCAGGUAAACAGCACCACAGGCAAUAUUCUCAGAUGCUCACUGAUGGUACCAGCACCAGCCCAGAAACUGUCCACACCAACCUCUCUAAACACAAAGAGCGACAUCAAAGUAGUCAUGGCCCUUUCAGACACAUUCAUACCAAGCAGGAGAAGGGUUCACCGCCACAUUUGCGAGCCGCAGGGCUGGAAUCAGAGUCUCAGUCGAGUAAAUCAUCCACCAGUGGUAGUUCAGAGAAAAGUGACAGACCCAAACACAUGGGACACAGGAGGCAGUCCAAACCACACAGGGUGAGUUCAUCACAAGACCAAAAAAGCCUGUUUAUCAUAAUGUUUGGUGCAAAAUAG
rnacentral:lncRNA from 1 species